rnacentral:rRNA from 1 species
GAUGAACGCUGGCGGCGUGCUUAACACAUGCAAGUCGAACGAUGCACUUUAGUUUAUUUCCUUCGGUACUGAUUAUUUUGUGACUGAGUGGCGGGCGGGCGAGUCAUGCGUGGGUAACCUGCCUUGUACAGUGGGUCUACAGUUGGAAACGGCUGCUAAUACCGCAUAAGCGCACAGCAUCGCAUGUUGCAGUGUGAAGAACUCCGGUGGUAUAAGAUGGACCCGCGUUGGAUUAGCUACUUGGUGAGGUAACGGCCCACCAAGGCGACGUACCAUGGCCGACCGGGGAAGGUGACCGGCCAGAAUGGGACUGAGGCACGGACCAAACUCCGACGGGGGACAGCGGUAGAGAAUAUUAUAGGAUGAACGAAAGCCUAGUGCAGCGGCGCGGCGUAAGAGAGGAAGUAGUUCGGUAUGUAAUGCUCUAACAGAAGAAAAGAUAAUGACGGUACCUGACGAAGAAGCACCGGCUAAAUACGUG